rnacentral:lncRNA from 10 species
GUCUGUAGGAGUUUUACGCACCAUGAUGCUAUGGCUCCAUCCAGACCUCCCAAGUCAGAUUCUCUGGAGAAAGAGUCUGGACAUCUGAACCUUUAAAAGCCCAGGUGAUUCUGAUGUAGCCCUGGUUGGAAUGCCUGGUCCAUUACACCUCUGUGACAUGGCUCCUUUCUUCCUCUCCAUGAUCCUUCAGGAAAGUAAAUAUAAUCUUAUAGAUUGAUCAGAAAGUGGAAAAAGAUUGAUUCACCAUUUUGAAGAACAGAAGAGUCUAACAUUUGAAGGGAAUGAGAAUGAAGAUACCCACGCAAACCCUUCCAAAGCUUUCAUGUGUUUCAAGUUAAAAAACAGGAUUUUGUGUGUGCAAAGGUGCUGCAAGCGGAGGCUGCUAAUGGCUCAUAACUGCCCCCUUCUCCAGAGAUUUCCUCUUGGACAUUUGCCUGGGAGGUUACCUCGCCACCCCCAGCCCAGGGGCAGCCCACCUGCAAGGGCUAAUGGACAUGAAGAAUACAAAAGACCAGCCAACCACAUCAAGGUGGAAGAAGGAUGCAAUUUCCUGAUGGGCAAAGGCAGGCAAAUGGGUCUUACUUCCACAUUGUCUCAGGAAACACAAUAAUAGUCACUUGGCUCUCACCAUAUCCCCUUGGAAAUCCCCAGGUGAUGCCAAACUCUAUCUCUGUGCACAGACAUGACUCAACUCUACAAUAAACCACCUGUGAACACAGUCAUCUCAGUUUCAAACAAUGAUUAGCUUC